GUUGAACGCUGGCGGCGUGCCUAAUACAUGCAAGUCGAGCGAACAGACGAGGAGCUUUCCUCCCUGACUUUCGCGGCGGACGGGUGUGUAACACGUGGAUAACCUACCUAUAAGACUGGGAUUACUUCGGGAAAACGGUGCUAAUACCGGCUAAUCUAUUCAACCGCAUGGUUCCAUAGUGAAAGACGGCUUUGCUUUCACUUAUCGCUGGAUCCGCGCCGCAUUAGCUAGUUGGUCAGGUAACGGCUUACCAAGGCAACGAUGCGUAGCCGACCUGAGAGGAUGAUCGGCCACACUGGAACUGAGACACGGUCCAGACUCCUACGGGAGGCAGCAGUAGGGAAUCUUCCGCAAUGGGCGAAAGCCUGACGGAGCAACGCCGCGUGAGUGAUGAAGGUCUUCGGAUCGUAAAGCACUGUUAUUAGGGAAGAACAAAGGUGAAAGUAACUAUGCACGUCUUGACGGUACCUAAACAGAAAGCCACGGCUAACUACGUG
rnacentral:rRNA from 1 species